GAUGAACGCUAGCGGCAGGCUUAAUACAUGCAAGUCGAGGGGCAGCAGGACUGUAGCAAUACAGUUGCUGGCGACCGGCAAACGGGUGCGGAACACGUACGCAACCUACCCAACACUGGGGGAUAGCCCGGGGAAACCCGGAUUAAUACCUCGUAACCUUUUUAAGUGGCAUCACUUGAUAAGUAUAGCUCCGUCGGUUUUGGAUGGGCGUGCGCCUGAUUAGGUAGUUGGUGCGGGUAACGGCCCACCAAGCCUGCGAUCAGGAACUGGUGUGAGAGCACGACCAGUCAGACGGGCACUGAGAAACGGGCCCGACUCCUACGGGAGGCAGCAGUAAGGAAUAUUGGUCAAUGGAAGCAAGUCUGAACCAGCCAUGCCGCGUGAAGGAUGAAGGUCCUCUGGAUUGUAAACUUCUUUUAUGGGGGACGAAACCCGGAUAUUCUUAUCCGAUUGACGGUACCUCAGGAAUAAGCACCGGCUAACUCCGUG
rnacentral:rRNA from 1 species